AGUGAACGCUGGCGGUAGGCCUAACACAUGCAAGUCGAACGGCAGCACAGUAAGAGCUUGCUCUUACGGGUGGCGAGUGGCGGACGGGUGAGGAAUACAUCGGAAUCUACUUUUUCGUGGGGGAUAACGUAGGGAAACUUACGCUAAUACCGCAUACGACCUACGGGUGAAAGCAGGGGAUCUUCGGACCUUGCGCGAUUGAAUGAGCCGAUGUCGGAUUAGCUAGUUGGCGGGGUAAAGGCCCACCAAGGCGACGAUCCGUAGCUGGUCUGAGAGGAUGAUCAGCCACACUGGAACUGAGACACGGUCCAGACUCCUACGGGAGGCAGCAGUGGGGAAUAUUGGACAAUGGGCGCAAGCCUGAUCCAGCCAUACCGCGUCGGUGAAGAAGGCCUUCGGGUUGUAAAGCCCUUUUGUUGGGAAAGAAAAGCAGCAGGUUAAUACCCCGCUGUUCUGACGGUACCCAAAGAAUAAGCACCGGCUAACUUCGUG
rnacentral:rRNA from 1 species